CCGAUCUUAGCUCAGUUGGUAGAGUGGUGGACUGUAGUUGGAUUAAUCUAUAUUGGAAAUCCUAAGGUCGCUGGUUUGAAUCCGGCAGGCCGGA
rnacentral:tRNA from 1 species